ensembl:lncRNA
UGCAGCCAGACCCUUCUCGUCUUUUGUUGUAGAUCAGACUGACAUAUUCAUUCACACUAAUGACUGUCUUUAACUGUUACAACAGCACACCGACAGAUUUCUCAAACCUCAGGAUCUCCGCUAAUAGUGCUGAUCACUGCUGCUGCUGGAUCUCUGGUGAUUGUGCCUGUGAUUGUGUUGUUUUGUAUCUGCAGGAAACACAGAGACGCAGUUCAUGAAGACGAGACUCCAGCUGCUGCAUUACUCUACAAACACACUGAACUAAUGAUGGAAUCAGACGUGACGGAGGUGAUUUACACCGGUUUCACCACAGAACACUGAUCAAACUCUCCCUGAUUCUGUUUCCUCACAAAUCAUAUACUGAUCACUGCUGAUAUUACUGCAUCUGGCUUUUACACUCUUACUGUUUCAACAAAUUUUUUAUUUGUCAGUUGUAUUUCUUCUAAGUGAUUUCUGAGUUUAUUGUAAUCCUGAAUGAUUAAUA